CCAGCUUGGCUAGUAUGUGUCGGGAACCCCCAGCCACCCCAGUGAAUCAAGAGUCAUUUCCCCCCAUUCCUAAACCAAACGCAAGCUUCCAGUUUCAGAGAGGUUGAGGGGGUUGCUGAGGACACACAGCUUAUGACAGCCAGUGAUUCCUAGAUCCUAUGUCUACACAGACUGCCUUCUGAUCCCCAGUCCUGAGAACUCAGAACCUGUAGGCUCCCGCCUGGAUGAAUGUCUCUCAGGCUAUUGCUGCCUGGUGUGCUCUCUCAGCUCCUGAUCUCAGGGUGGAUCAUUCGCCUCAACUGAAAGAACUCAGUGCUGGGCCCUGGUGGCGCAUGUCUUUAAUCCCAGCACUUGGGA